rnacentral:rRNA from 1 species
UGGGGAAUUUUGGACAAUGGGCGCAAGCCUGAUCCAGCCAUGCCGCGUGCGGGAAGAAGGCCUUCGGGUUGUAAACCGCUUUUGUCAGGGAAGAAAUCUUCUGAGUUAAUACCUCGGGAGGAUGACGGUACCUGAAGAAUAAGCACCGGCUAACUACGUGCCAGCAGCCGCGGUAAUACGUAGGGUGCAAGCGUUAAUCGGAAUUACUGGGCGUAAAGCGUGCGCAGGCGGUUUUGUAAGACAGAGGUGAAAUCCCCGGGCUCAACCUGGGAACUGCCUUUGUGACUGCAAGGCUUGAGUGCGGCAGAGGGGGGAUGGAAUUCCGCGUGUAGCAGUGAAAUGCGUNGAUAUGCGGAGGAACACCGAUGGCGAAGGCAAUCCCCUGGGCCUGCACUGACGCUCAUGCACGAAAGCGUGGGGAGCAAAAC